UACAGAGGUCUCGAGCGUUGUUCGGAUUCAUUGGGCGUAAAGGGGUGCGUAGGUGGCGCUGUAAGUCGGGUGUGAAAAUCCUGAGGCUUAACCCUCGGAACUGCAUUCGAUACUGCGGCGCUUGAGGACUGGAGAGGAGACUGGAAUUCCCCGGUGUAGUGGUGGAAAUGCGUAGAGAUCGGGAGGAAUACCAGUGGCGAAAAGCGGCACCCUGGCGUCGUACUGACGCACAUGUGCGAAAAGCGUGGGGAGCGAACGGGGA
rnacentral:rRNA from 1 species